CGGUAAUUCCAGCUCCAAUAGCGUAUACUAAAGUUGUUGCAGUUAAAAAGCUCGUAGUUGGAUUUCUGCGGGGACGGAGCGGCCGGUCGCAACUUGCGACUCGAGCUAGCGCUUUCCCCGCAUCCUGCCGCGAACCGUGCUACCAUUAGUUUGGUGGCGCUGGGGAUCGGCUCGAUUACUUUGAGAAAAAUAGAGUGUUCAAAGCAGGCCACACGCCUUGAAUAAGUUAGCAUGGAAUAAUGACUAAGGACUUUGGUUCUUUUCGUUGGUGUUCGGGACUGAAGUAAUGAUUGAUAGGGACAGUUGGGGCGGUCCGUAUUCCAAAGCGAGAGGUGAAAUUCUUAGACCUUCGGAAGACGAACAGCUGCGAAAGCGUUCCGCAAGGAUGUUCCCUUUGAUCAAGAACGAAAGUUGGGGGAUCGAAGACGAUCAGAUACCGUCGUAGUCUCAACUAUAAACUAUACCAGCUAGGGAUCGGCCAACGUUUAAUUAUUCGACUUGGUCGGCACCUUAUGAGAAAUCAAAGCAUCUGGGUUCCGGGGGGAGUAUGGUCGCAAGGCUGAAACUUAAAGGAAUUGACGGAAGGGCACCACCAGCCGUGGAGCCUGUGGCUUAAUUUGACUCAACACGGGAAAACUUACCAGGUCCGGACAUAGUAAGGAUUGACAGAUUGAUAGCUCUUUCUUGAUUCUGUGGGUGGUGGUGCAUGGCCGUUUUUAGUCGGUGGAUGUGAUCUGUCUGCUUAAUUGCGUUAACGGACGAGACCCCAGCCUGCUAAAUAGCGCGGCCGAGCUUUGCUCGGUGCGAGCUUCUUAGAGGGACCAUGAUGCGCGAUAGCACAAGGAAGUUUGGGGCAACAACAGGUCUGUGAUGCCCUUAGAUGUUCUGGGCCGCACACGGGCUACACUGGCGCCUGCAACGAGCAUAUCAGCUGGCCCGAGAGGGUCUUGGCUAAUCUUUGGAACCGGCGCCGUGCUUGGGAUUAACCAUUGCAAUUGUUGGUCAUGCAACGAGGAAUGCCUUGUAAACGCGAGUCAUCAGCUCGCAUUGAAUACGUCCCUGCCCUUUGUACACACCGCCCGUCGCUCCUACCGAUGAAUGUUCCGAUGAAAUUUUCGGAGAGCACCAGAGAACGGGGCUCUGCCUUGCAGAUCUGGAGGCUCAAAGUCACUUAAAUCUGAACAUUUCGAGGAAGGAGAAGUCGUAACAAGGUAGCCG
rnacentral:rRNA from 1 species